rnacentral:rRNA from 2 species
UCUGGUGGCGAUGGCGAGAAGGUCACACCCGUUCCCAUCCCGAACACGGAAGUUAAGCUUCUCAGCGCCGAUGGUAGUUGGGGGUUUCCCCCUGUGAGAGUAGGACGCCGCCGGGC